GACAGAGGGUGCAAACGUUGUUCGGAAUUACUGGGCGUAAAGCGCGUGUAGGCGGCCCAGCAAGUCGGAUGUGAAAGCCCUGGCUUAACCUAGGAAGUGCAUUCGAAACUGCUGGGCUUGAGUUCUGGAGAGGAAGGCGGAAUUCGUCGGUGUAGAGGUGAAAUUCGAUAGAUAUCGAGAGGAACACCGGUGGCGAAGGCGGCCUUCUGGACAGU
rnacentral:rRNA from 1 species